rnacentral:rRNA from 1 species
GUAGGUGGCAAGCGUUGUCCGGGAAUUAUUGGGCGUAAAGCGCGCGCAGGCGGUUCUUUAAGUCUGAUGUGAAAGCCCACGGGCUCAACCGUGGAGGGUCAUUGGAAACUGGAGAACUUGAGUACAGAAGAGGAAAGCGGAAUUCCACGUGUAGCGGUGAAAUGCGUAGAGAUGUGGAGGAACACCAGUGGCGAAGGCGGCUUUCUGGUCUGUAACUGACGCUGAGGCGCGAAAGCGUGGGGAGCAAACAGGAUUAAAUACCCUGGUAGUCCACGCCGUAAACGAUGAGUGCUAAGUGUUAGGGGGUUUCCGCCCCUUAGUGCUGCAGCUAACGCAUUAAGCACUCCGCCUGGGGAGUACGGCCGCAAAGGCUG